rnacentral:lncRNA from 1 species
GUGUCUGUGUGCGGUCAGACUAUGGGUUCCAGGUGGAAUCUUAUGGCGUCCAGGUGUGGGUCAGAUUCUUAUGGGGUGAUGUAUGGGUCAUAUCUAUGGGUCAAAUCUAUGGGUCCGGGUUAUCUAUGGGUCAAGAUCUAUGGGCGUGCAGGUGGAUCUAUUGGGUCAGGGUAUAUGGGUUUGGGUCUAUGAGGGGUUCCAGGUGGAAUCUAUGGGUCAAUCUUAUGGGUCCAGGUGGGGUCUAUGGAGUCAGAUCUAUGGGUUUCCAGUGGGUUCUAUGGUCAAUCUAUGGGUCCGGGUGUAUCUAUGGGUCAGAUCUAUGGGUGCAGGUGGAUCUAUGGGUCAGUAUAUGGGUUGGGUCUAUGGGUCCAGGUGGAUCUAUGGGUCAAUCUAUGGGUCCAGGUGGGUCUAUGGGUCAGAUCUAUGGUCCAGGUGGAUCUAUGGGUCCAGGUGUGGGUCAGAUGUAUGGGGUUGUAUCUAUGGGGUGAUGUAUGGGUCAGAUCUAUGGGUCAGUGUUGUGGACCAUAGAUCUGACCCACAUAUGGACCCAUAG